CUUUAGUAAAAUAGGAUCUCGUGUUAUACUUGCGCAUGCGCAAGAUGUUGACCUGGUGCCAUUGUUCUCAUGUGCGUAAUAUAUAUCAAUAGCACCAGCGUUCUGACUAUCAUACAGAGAGGUGUAAUAAGACGAGUAGCCGUUGAAUAAAUGUUCCAUUUACAGUUAAUCUGUUUCACUUCAUUUGCAUAACCAAUAGUCUAACAGGUUAUGGGCCCAGAGUACGCUUAGGCGCUUACUCUGAUAAAAAACAGUAAAUUAGUGAAGUGAAGAGUAAAAGAGAAAAGACUGGUGAAAAACAGACAAAGUGGAAGGACGAACGUUAUAACCGAGGGGUGCAUACGGACAGGCAAGAUGGGCGAUGAGAUGAGUGACGACCUGCUACAAUUCGUGGAGGAUCAGACAUUUUUGUUUGGUUUCGACACACUCCAUCAAGGAGAGGACGUCGCAUUCAAGAUUCAGGGGAAUAGGCUAGAGAUGAGAACUCAAUCUGGAGUCGUGUAUAGAACAGACAGAAGAAUGAUAUCGGAUGAACAUUGGAGAGCGGUGAACAAAUGGUACGCAAAGAAACAAGAGAAAAAUGAACCCCCCAUCAUUCCUAAACUCUACCUGGAGCAACUCAGUUCAGCAACUGUUACAAGAGAUGAGUCGGCCAAGGCGCGCACAAGAGUGACAAAAGCUGAAGUACAUCAGUCAGGACAAGUAAACCUGAUCUGCGAAAAGCUGGAUACGAUCUCCAAGCUGUUGCAGACAAUAGUUGACGUACAAAAGAAAAACACAGGUGAUUAUAUGACUGAUCAUUUGAGAGAGAUGAGGAAAGAAAUGGCCAAAGAAAAACAAAGAAAUGCAGCACAAUUGCAGAACAUUACCAAAAUGUUGGAAAAAUUGACGAAAACCAUCAAUGAGCCAGGAGAGGUUGGAGCUAAAGGAAGAAAUGAGUUUGACUUUAUAGAAGAUUACAAUGAGACAGAGGAGGAUGGCGCAGGAUUUGAAAAUGAAAUAGCCGGAAUAGUUAAAUCACAGUAUGAGAACUUAAGACGGAUCAAGAUGAGACAGAACAGCGAAAGUCCAAACAGUAGCCCUGCUAAAAAAGUAGGGAAGGCUGUAAAAUUGGAGUUUUUAAAUGAAAAUUUGCCAUUAAAAAGAGAUUACAAAUUAACGAGUGAAACUAGAUUUGAACACUUCUAUGAUUUCUUUAAAUCUGAACUGAGAGCUAAUAAACUGUUGCAUGUAAUAGACAGCGCAGUAGACUUCAAAGGGGAUAGAAAGACACUAGAAGAACAAAAAUUUAGAGUUCGAGACAUUUUGAUCAGUCACAUUGACAAAAAUUAUCGUUACAAGGUAAUGAAGUUUGAAGAUCCAGUCGAUAUUCUUAAUAAAUUGAGAGAACUCAAGCAAUUCGAGGAAAAUGUAACGCCUUUUACUGGCAGAAAGGAAAUAUCAAAUAUGGUAUACAUCAAAGAUCAAAUAAGUGCAAUGGAGUUUUGCGAUAAAUUUGAAGAUGCAAUACGAACUUAUGAGAACACUUCAUCUGCAACUCCUCUGUCUGAAGAAGAGAAGAGAGAUGCGUUUUACAAUGCAGUCAUGGUAUCUGUACCUUUGGUUCAACAACUAGAAUCAACUGCUCAAGUCAAAGGUGAAAGACCUCUUCGAUAUGAUCAACUUAAAACACUUGUCCAGGACGAAGAAGUUACUAGGAGCCGAAUAGAAGGCGCGAAUCGCGAAGUGAGGCUUGCCAAAAAAUCAGACAGGUGUUUCGAGUGUGGUGGUAACGGACAUUUUGGACGAGACUGCCUUAACAAGGGCAUGGGCAAGCUCUGCUAUGUAUGUAACAACUACGGGCACAUAGCAAUGGACUGUUCAAAAUUCAAAGGACACAAUGACAACCAAAAAGAUAAGCUGAAACAAACAAAUUAUUAUGGACACAAUUCUCGUGGGUUUGGGCGUGGUGAUGAUGGUGAUUUCCCAAAAAGGAAGUUAGAGAAUGGUGGCACAAAUGAUGGGGCAGGUAUGAAGAGGAGAAAAUACAGCAACCAAACAGACAAACCAUGUUUUACAUCAUCAAAACCCAAAGGAGGAUCAAAAACAGGAUUUUUCAAGGAAGGAGAGAGGAGAUUCGCUGAAAACGACAGGGAGAAGGGUAAGUUCGAUGUGAAUUUAAUUUGUCCAAUGAAAGUAGAUAGCCUAUAAAAGGAAACGUGAUGUAGGUUGAAGACCCAAAAUUCAAUAAAAAUAAUUGCCUUGCUGAGUUCUUAGCUGACUCAGGUGCAACUGAGCAUCUGACAAAUUCAAAAUUAAUAUUUAAUACUUUAGACGAGAAAAUCAGAUGUUAUUAAAUAUGCAAAUAAUGAUGGGUCAGCAGCCUUAAGAAGGGAGGGGGUAGGGAGGGUCGAAAUUUCAUUAGAAAGAAGGAAGAAGUUUGAAAUAGAUGCGGUAAUUUUUGCGGCGGCUCUUCAAGCCAACUUGUUAUGUUUAACCCCUCACGUACGGGGCCUUUCUGAUACCAAGUCUACCACACGCUCAAUAUUCUUUGCAUUCCAUAUUUUCUGAUGAAUGAAAAAUUAUAAAUAAAAUACAUAAUUGAAGCUACAAUAUUCACCUUCCCAAUGGUAUUAGUUCGAUUGUAUGAUCUGCCAUAGUUUUGGAAAUAUUCAAUUUUGAAAAGAGCCGUGCGUUUUUGCACGGGUCGGUAUGACAUACCGAGCCCGUACGUGAGGGGCUAAGGAGAUUUGCUGAAAAGGGACUCGCGAUUUACUUAGAUGAUGAAAGAAUAGACAUCUUUGAUCCAGACUCUAACGAGUGAAAACCUUACUGGAUAAUAGAUCUAGAGAUAAACAGGUAUAACUCUCUCAGUAAUGAAUUUCAUAAAAGCACAAAUAGAAGAGUAAUAUCAAACACGGCAGAGGGUGAGUUUGAAAUGAGAAAAUACAUGGCGCGAACUACUACAGCCAAAUAAAAAGUAGUGGUUAGUGAAAUUCAAACUGAAAGUGUAGACCAGGUCGAAGAAAUGGCUAUUGAAGAAAGGAAAGAUGAGUGGGAUAAGACCAAAAUAGAUAAGAUAAAAAGUACCGAGGAAACUCCUAAACAAUCCAAAAACCCUUUUGAACAGUCUAGCUUCGAUUUCUCGAUCUGGGAUAGACAACUACACAAAAUUGAUGAGGUACAAGAGGAGAACCCAAGUAAGAAUUGUAAUCUAUUUGAAGAAGAAGAGAAUAAAUUACAGGAGAAAAACAAAGCUAUGCUAUGGCAUGUCAGAUUUGGUCAUGUGUCAAUUAUUUACCUGAAAGCUUUGCAGAUAAAAUUAAAAAACAAUAAAGAACUGAAAGAUGUGAUUUUCGAUGAAUCUUCAAUUAGGAUAAGUUUUUAAUAUUGCUACUAUAUGUAGACGACAUACUGCUGGUAAGUAAGGACAAACUCAAAUUGGAUGAAGUAAAAGCAAAAUUGAGUUCAGAAUUUGAAAUGACGGUAAUAGGUGAGCCCAAAGAAUUCUUGAAUAUUUCAAUUACACGUGACAGGAAAAAUCAAAUAAUCAAGAUGAGUCAGAAAAAAAAGGUAAAUAAAAUUCUAGAGAAGUAUGGUUUCGAGAAUUCACAUUCUCAAAGGAAUCCAAUGCUCACAAGACAGGCUUCCAAUCAUGAAAGAAAGAUGAGAGAGUUAGACACUGGCAAUGAACUUGAUAGUGAAACUGAGGAAAGACUGGACAGUCCAUAUAGAGAGAUUGUGGGCAGCCUGCUGUACCCGGCAGGAGCAGCUAGACCGAACAUUUCGAACGCGAUCAAUAUAUUGUCAACAUCAGGCCAGUCCUAUAGGUGAGGACUGGAAGAUGGUAAAAAGAGUAUUCAGGCACCUGAGAGGUACUUUGACUUUAGGCCUUCGAUAUUCAGGUGAGAGGACUGAGAUUCAAGGCUACUCAGACGCGAGCUUUGCAGCCUGCAAAGGCUCACUGACCACGUGCGAGUGCGAGUGCGCAAACUGUUGGCCUGGUGCCGUUGUUCUCACGUAGAUUUGUAAUCAAACUAUUCGGAGAUUCCAUUGCUUGGCGAAGACAUAAACAGUCGUAUGUAGCACUUUCGACUUGUCAAACCGAGUACGUUGCAAUGAGUUAGGAAAAAGGAGGACUUAAAAUAACAAGAUGAGAAGACUCAGGAUCAGUCGAGAGGGCGUGUUGGAAUAGACGACGCCUGUUCCCGAUCGUACUGCCCUGUUGCCUAUACUCAACAGCCUGUGCUAUAUUUAUUCUCGUGCUGUACUUGCGAGUGCGCAAACUGUUGGCCUGGUGCCGUUGUUCUCACGUGCGUUAGCCCUAGCAUUCUAACUUUACAGAAAGAUAUGACAAGACGCGUAACCAUUGAAUAAAAGUUCUUUUCUCAGUUAA